AACGUGGGUAACCUGCCCAAGAGACUGGGAUAACACCUGGAAACAGAUGCUAAUACCGGAUAACAACACUAGACGCAUGUCUAGAGUUUAAAAGAUGGUUCUGCUACCACUCUUGGAUGGACCUGCGGUGCAUUAGCUAGUUGGUAAGGCAACGGCUUACCAAGGCAAUGAUGCAUAGCCGAGUUGAGGGACUGAUCGGCCACAUUGGGACUGAGACACGGCCCAAACUCCUACGGGAGGCAGCAGGC
rnacentral:rRNA from 1 species